CAUGAGGACUACACACUGUCUUCCGUUCCUGACGACACAACAUGGAGCAAAAGCAAACAGGGCCGCGGCUGCCGAGAACCACAGUGGAUUCAUUUUCGACAGCUGGGUCUGUUUUUCUUCGUCAUUCUAAAAAGAGGACAGCAGAGGAAGUCCCAGCAUGUCCUAUUACUGUCCACUGUUCCUGUGGGACAAAGUCCAGUCAGCAGAGGCUACCAAAGGUCACUCUGCCUGGCGCCGAUGGUUACCACGACGGCCUGCGUGCGCCCUGUGAGCGGGGGGUUUUCACGUGAGGGAGCACAUCUCGCAGGAGAGUUUCUUACCGGCUUGCUGGAACAUGACCAUGGUCUGCGGCGUGGUGUGGACCGGCAGGGACCGGGUCCUCUGCACGGAGCUGUGGGUCCGGCUGGGCAUGCUGUUGCUUCCUCCGGGGUUGGCAAACCACAGACCCUGAGGAGAAAUCGGACAUUAAAUCAACUGACUGAACGUGCAAACACGUCUCACGUAAGAUCAGUGCCGCAAGUUAAACCUACUGCUGCAGUUCCUUCAGAUUUAAUGGAGCUGUGUUGUAUGUAUGGACUGAAUAUCCACGUUUUAUUGGAAAAAGAAAUCAUCUUUAAAUAUUUACUAGAUCAAGCACAAUGAAAUGAUGAUUCAUAAUGUGUGGUGUGUGGUGAAUAUUUUUGUGGAACAGUUGUUAGCAUAUGCUGCAUUUUGACUUAAUAUAUUCUUACAGAGUUAUUUUAAUAGACGCUAACACAACCUUUUAAUGACCUGCAGAUGGAUAAGAUGGUUGUGUUUCUCACACGUUUCAAGCUCAUACAGCUUCCUCUUUCUUUACACUCGCUUCUGACAUCACCGCUUUUCACACACUGCUGU